AUCCAGCUGAUGAGUCCCAAAUUAGGACAAAACGCGCUUCUUGGAU
rnacentral:hammerhead_ribozyme from 1 species